AUGGAUUUUGUAGUGAUAAUAAGAGGUUUCUGAUCUCUGAUGAGGGAAGUCUGGGAUUUUGGUUAAUUUCAUUGCCAUUUGCUUUUCAGACGAGAGAUUAAACAGUUAUUGUCUGAGUUGGAUGAAGAGAAGAAAAUCCGGCUUCGGUUGCAGAUGGAAGUGAAUGACAUAAAGAAAGCUCUACAAUCAAAAUGAAUACUUGAUCAAUGAAAUGUCACAUUAUUCAUCCUGAGUCCGAGACUCAAAUUUUCUGCCCCAGCCAAAAUAAUCUUGUGCCAAAAGAUUAAAGGUUUGCCUCAAAAUGUCCCUGUUUGAAAGAUUAGCACAAAAGUCUUGAUAGCACAACACAAAUUCCAUCCAAGAGGAGAAUCUUCCCCAGGGUUUAGUCCUGGGGCUGGCACUCGUUGUGACUUACACAGAGCAAAAUUGUGCUAAAGGCUUUUCUACUCUGAGAUCUCCAUGCGAAAUGAAAACUCAGGCAGUUUAGUCCAUAGUGGUACUAUUUUGAUGAUAUUUUCCAUUAAUAAAAUGUAAUUUCAGAUUAUUCGUUUACAAGCUUUAUAAUUUUAUGAUUUUUUAAUCGUGUUUUGUCACAGACUUCCCUAGUGUUUGUACUACACGUAGUCAGAAGCGAGUGUCCUUUUCUUUUGCUUCAGGCUGAGAGCUGCCUCGCUCUUUGUCCCCCCAUUAGGAUUCUAUUACAUAUGCAAUUGUAGGUUCAACCUGUCCCUUCCCCUGCCAGCAAACCCCACCACCCUAAGAGAAAUUUUAGCUUAUAUAUGAUGGUAUAUUUACAAAAAGAGAAAGAGAAAAUCUGGUAUUUGCAAUGAUCUGUGCCUUCUUUUUACCACCCUCUUGAUUGGAGCUUUUGUGAUGCAGCUACCAUGAUUCAAAAAAAUUAAAAAAUGAAAAUUAAAAAACAAAGUCUGCCACUUAUCCAAGUCCACUAGAGGCCACUGUCUUCAAAGCUUCUCUCACCCUAGCCAAAGGUCCUAAGAGGAGACAGCUGUGAAGUUGGGCGUGCUCUGUGGUACCAGCUGUGACUUUUAUAUUUCUCCUAGUUUUAGGUUGUUCAUGAAACUAGAAAUGUCACCCCUGCUUGAUUUUUCAUCCGCCAAGUUAAACCCCUGCUUUCUGUCCUUUGCACCUUUUGCGUGAACAGAAUAUGCAUUAUUAAAGCAAAAAUAAAUAAAAGUAAAAUGCAAAUGAAAACAAGGGGGGGAAAGUUGUAUUAUUUCCUGCACUGGGUUACCCGUGUGUGUUAUCGUUUAAACUGUAUUCACAUAAUGUCAUUUGCCUUGCUCACUUGUAACCCCUUCCUCAGGUCCAAGAGAAUGGGAGGAGGGUCAUGUUGAAGUGUAGCCAUUGGAACUUUCUUGCGUUUAUGGAGUUGCUUUUUCUUUCCCAAGGAAACUGAUGUUUGCCUGUCCGCUUUAUCUUUGUAGUACAUGAACAGUUCAGCCUUAGACUAUGUAACUGUUUUCUCAUCCUUAGCUGAAAAUGAGGAGCCUACUGUACUGUGAGACUGUUCAGGGGUAGGGGUGGAGGGGGUGGUCCCUUAAUGGCCCCUGAAGAUGUUGGAUGUGUUUCUCGAAAGCUGCUUUGUCUAUUUCCUGAGUUUAAUAGUGAAACUACUAAACAUUAAUAGAUUUGCACAGCCACAAAGAAUGAGAGUUAAUGAUACUGAAGAAGUGAUGCAAAAAAAAUCACAUUAUUGGUCAUUGAUAGUAUUACAAAUAAAUGUCUCUUCCUUUCUCUUCUUCCCUCCCUCCCCCUGCCUUCCUCUUGCCUAUGUGCUCAUCCUUGCUACCUGAGGCUGUUAUUUCCCUCCAGGUAUUUACUUGAGCCCGAACACCUCGGUCUUCCUGGGUGGGGGCACAGUUAAGGGAAGGGAGUGUAUAAGGAAGGAAACCUCACACCCUCCAUUCCCAUCCCUGGAUAUAUUGCCUUUCCAGCAGCCUUGGGUUCAGUGUGCUUUGGAGUCAGGAGUGCCAAGUUCCCAAGAGCAGCGUAAAAUAUCCCUGUACCUCUUGACAGUUUUAAGCAUUUCUGCAUUAAACUUGAAGAUUCCAGAGAUUCCCCACCACCUAAUGAUCUAAGAAUGCAGAUUGGAUUCUUUGAUGUUCAGAUUUCUCAUCUACUUAUGAAAAUCCCUAAUUAUAUAGUUUUAUAUAACGUGUAUACAGAGUAGGAUUGUUGAUUUAAUUGAGCAGUUGGAACACCCUCAUGGGGCACUGGCAACGUGGAAUGUAGAGAGCUGAUGUCUUCCCCUCAUAGAGGCCAUUGGCUUCCUUUGCAUAAGGAGAGGGAGAAGUGAUUCUGGAAGGAGAGGUUGGUAUGUACAGCUUCUUUCAUUGCUGCCCCUCGGGCUACCCAGCAAGAGGAUUCUGCGUCAAGGAACUGGAUGAGCCGCUACCCAAACAGCCACCAUCUUUACUCUUUACAAAAUGGACCCAUCGAGAAUGUUGAAAAGCUUGGAAGUAUCACUUUUGAAAAAAAAAAAAAUUUAUUUUGCAUUCAGCAUGGACUCGACCAGGCAUCUAUGGAGAUUAUUUUUUUGCUUCAUUUUAUAAAGUUGUAUUUAGAAAAGUCUUAAGUAUUGUGCUUUGUAAAGAAGAUGAUUAAAAUGAAAUUUUGUGAGAA